rnacentral:tRNA from 2 species
GAACAAUAUCAACGCUCAAUAGCGGACUGAAAAUCCGCGUGUCGGUGGUUCGAAUCCGCCUCUGGGCACCA